rnacentral:misc_RNA from 1 species
GAUGAAGAACGCAGCGAAAUGCGAUACGUAAUGUGAAUUGCAGAACUCAGUGAAUCAUCGAAUCUUUGAACGCACAUUGCGCCUGCCAGCACUCUGGCAGGCAUGCCUGUUCGAGCGUCAUUUCAACCAUCAAGCCCUAGGCUUGCGUUGGAGCCCUGCGGCUGCCGCAGGCCCCUAAAAGCAGUGGCGGGCUCGCUAUCACACCGAGUGCAGUAGAUUACUCUUCGCUCAGGGCGUGUGGCGGGUUCCAGCCGUGAAACCCCCUACUUCUCAAGGUUGACCUCGGAUCAGGUAGGAAUACCCGCUGAACUUAAGCAUAUCAAUAAGCGGAGGA